CACGUAGGGUGCGAGCGUUGUCCGGAAUUAUUGGGCGUAAAGAGCUCGUAGGCGGUGUGUCGCGUCGGCCGUGAAAACCUGCAGCUUAACUGUGGGCGUGCGGUCGAUACGGGCAUCACUGGAGUUCGGCAGGGGAGACUGGAAUUCCUGGUGUAGCGGUGAAAUGCGCAGAUAUCAGGAGGAACACCGGUGGCGAAGGCGGGUCUCUGGGCCGAUACUGACGCUGAGGAGCGAAAGCGUGGGGAGCGGACAGG
rnacentral:rRNA from 1 species